ensembl:lncRNA
AGCACUUUGUGCAUCACAUGUCAUGCAUCACCCCCCUGCUGUCUCUCUUUCUCACUUUUUUUCUUCUUCUUCUUUUUCUUCUCAGCGCGAACGCUGUCGCACUCGUUCUAACACACCCUAAAUGACACAAGUCAGCCUCUUUGCCAUUCUUCGCUCUCCAGCAACACAAACAGUAUCUCUCACUCACAACUUUGGUAAGUUUUUCGGGGUUUUUUUAAAAUUUCCUUCCUGUUUUUCUCUUAAGCUCAUUUUUGCUACGCACAUCUUUUACACUGAAACUGCUUUGUCUGUUUUUCCCCUGUUGUGAUUUUUAAUGCUUUGGAUUUUGAAGUACUUGAAGCAUUUAUUUAAUCUAUGCUAAGAUACAUGUGAGGUACAAUUACAGCACUUCAGGCAAUAAUUUGCAACUUAGAUCAGUUACUCUGAUCCAUUUCGGCUUUAAUUGCUCUUUGAAACCAGCAAACGCGCUGAGCGGUCUGCAAAGCUUCCUGUCAUCCCAGUGAACGCAGUAGAGUUUAACAAGGGCAGACUUCCUGUUACAUCUCCAGUAUCCUGAGUAUAAAAUUCACCAAUGGAUCUCCUGAUGACAAGUUCACAGCUGCUUUGAAAGCACCAGGAGUUUGUGACUGUAAAGUUCAGCCUGUAACUGAGACUCCAAACCAUCCAAGAUUUUUUUUCUUUAAUUCAACUGUAACUUCUUCCUAAGGAGGAAUGGACAGCAAAACUACGGUGGUGGCCCUUGUUGUCACCCUAUUAAUCCUCCUUCUUGCGCUCUUUGUACUGUACAAGAAGCUGAACAGGGAGGCCGAAGGGGAAUAUACAGUCCGACGCAUCGUCUACAAAGAAGGAGGUCUCAGGGACCAGGCGAGAAGUGCAGCGUUAGCUGUGGGGGCACGUCUUGGGGUCCAGCUGUGGCCUGGAAGUGAUGAAGAAGAGGAAGGGGAGGAAAUGCAGGAAGUCCAAGAUGAAGAAGAACAGGUGGAUAGUGGUGAUAGUCAGGGGAGUGACACAGAGGGAGAUGAAGAGGAGGAGGACAACGACACGGACCGGUCUGGUAAUGCUAAGGAGAAAGAAAGUAAUACUUCAAAUGAUAACUCAAGUAUUGGGAGUUCAGAGGCAGGAGAGCAAACCAAACUAAACGAUGAGUCUGAGCCAAAGGGAGAGACGAGUGAAGAAAAGGAGGAGAAAGUGGGAGAAGAGCAGAGUAAAGCUGAGGCAAGUGGAGGGCCGGGAUUGCUGAUAGAUCUAAAGCAGUUCUCUGGAAGCGCGAUCUGGUCUGAAGAAGGUGGUGAGGGUAAAGGUGACGUGACUGCAUUGUGAGAAUCAGAAAUAAUGAAUAAGACUGAGGAAUCUGCCAAAAUCAGGAUUUCACAAACACCAGCUUCAUCCUCUAAAUGUCUCCCCACUGCAAAUUCCUUCUAUUAGUCUAAAAAAAAUAAAAUAAAAUAAAAGAUACAUGCACCCACCCAUUAAACCCCAAAAGCCUUAAACUCUCAUGACCUCACAUGACCUCGUUUUCCUCUGGUCCCAGUUCAAAAGUCUUUGAUGAAUAAAGCAGUUAUAUAAACAUACAGGGGUGCUCUAGAUUGUAACUGUAAAGUGUAAAAAAACAAAAACAAAACAAUACUUGCCUAUACUUUUUUGUUUUAAAUGUUUAUUUUAAUCUACAUAAGAAAUUGAAAACUGGAAACUUUUUUUUAGUGUUUUCUGUUCUGUUUUUUGUUGUUCUUUAUGCCAUUUGUAGAAAUAAAAAAAGGAGUAGUAAUUAAAUAUAGUGAUAACAAAAUAAUGUUUUAUUUGUUUUAAUGAAAAACAAGUGAAUGUAACCCGUCAAACUUUCAGUCAACAUACAUUUUAUAUGCUGUGUAAAUGGUCGAAAAUUUAAUAAACCACAUACUGAAAAUACGAAUGAAUUGUAUACUUUAAAAAUAUAUAAAACAUGUAGUAAUGCUAUCGGCGGAAGCAUGUGUACAUAGCGUGAUCAUAGCAUGACGAAGCUAAAAUUCUUCCGUGUUUUAUGUUUGUAGGGUUUUAGAGGAAAAAACAUGCUAGCGAUAAGCCACAAGUUUCCUGUUGUAUGCAUUAACCGGAACAAAUACAUAUAAAUAACAAUAUAACUUUCAAUAUUAACCGGAACAAAUGCAUAUAAAUAACAAUAUAACUUUCGUAGUCGUAGUUACACCAAAAUCAGCCACAGUGGCGUCACAGCCAAGAGUCACAGAUAAAACCUCUUCUUGUUGGUUAUUCAGCCAAUGGGGAUGUAGCUCAGUGGUAGAGCGCAUGCUUCGCAUGUAUGAGGUCCCGGGUUCAAUCCCCGGCAUCUCCAAUGACUUUUUUUUCAACUUUUAUUUCCCUAUAAGUUGUAAAUGUGAUGUGAAGUGCAAUAUUGUCACAGAAGUCACAGAAGAAGAAAUAAAAAAUUUUAAGCAAUUUAAAGCAGUACGGCAUAACUAUAUCCCAAACACCGUCACCUCAAUGUGUGCACGAGGUGAGGUACGUUUGCGAUUGGCCCAAAGCAGCCCGUGCUCGAAUGUGAUUGGACGGUGGAUGCCUUGGAGGCGUGGGGGUGUUCAUACACGCGAGUGUCAAACAUUUAUUUUCGCCGGUCCAGUACCUGAUAGUU